rnacentral:misc_RNA from 1 species
UGGAAGACUUCUUGAGAUUAGCUCAUACAAAUACACAGAAAAAUUAAGAAACAUGUGGUGUUCUUACUGGUUCACUGGUAAGUGGAACAAAAUUUUUAACAGAUACACAUAUACUUGCUUAUUUCCUGAAUGAGAAUGAGCCACCGUACAUGUUUCCUUGACUUUUCACUUCAUGCGGUGUGGAAAAACAGGGUUUUCCGCAUCAGUACACUUAUAAUUUGUUACAUAUUAUAGGAAGAG